AUUGAACGCUGGCGGCAGGCUUAACACAUGCAAGUCGAGCGGGGUGAUGGUGCUUGCACUAUCACUUAGCGGCGGACGGGUGAGUAAUGCUUAGGAAUCUGCCUAUUAGUGGGGGACAACAUCUCGAAAGGGAUGCUAAUACCGCAUACGUCCUACGGGAGAAAGCAGGGGAUCACUUGUGACUUUGCGCUAAUAGAUGAGCCUAGUCGGAUUAGCUAGUUGGUGGGGUAAAGGCCUACCAAGGCGACGAUCUGUAGCGGGUCUGAGAGGAUGGUCCGCCACACUGGGACUGAGACACGGCCCAGACUCCUACGGGAGGCAGCAGUGGGGAAUAUUGGACAAUGGGGGGAACCCUGAUCCAGCCAUGCCGCGUGUGUGAAGAAGGCCUUAUGGUUGUAAAGCACUUUAAGCGAGGAGGAGGCUCUUUUGGUUAAUACCCAAGAUGAGUGGACGUUACUCGCAGAAUAAGCACCGGCUAACUCUGUGCCAGCCGCCGCAGUAAUAC
rnacentral:rRNA from 1 species